rnacentral:tRNA from 1 species
AAGGUUUUAAGUUAAAUAAACUAUUAAUCUUCAAAAUUAAAAAUAAUAUUUAAAUUUUAAACCUUA